rnacentral:rRNA from 2 species
CGGCUUUUUUGGUCUGUAACUGACGCUUAGGCGCGAAAGCGUGGGGAGCAAACAGGAAUAGAUACCCUGGUAGUCCACGCCGUAAACGAUGAGUGCUAAGUGUUAGAGGGUUUCCGCCCUUUUAGUGCUGCAGCUAACGCAUUAAGCACUCCGCCUGGGGAGUACGGUCGCAAGACUGAAACUCAAAGGAAUUUGACGGGGGCCCGCACAAGCGGUGGAGCAUGUGGUUUAAUUCGAAGCAACGCGAAGAACCUUACCAGGUCUUGACAUCCUCUGACAACUCUAGAGAUAGAGCGUUCCCCUUCGGGGGACAGAGUGACAGGUGGUGCAUGGUUGUCGUCAGCUCGUGUCGUGAGAUGUUGGGUUAAGUCCCGCAACGAGCGCAACCCUUGAUCUUAGUUGCCAGCAUUUAGUUGGGCACUCUAAGGUGACUGCCGGUGACAAACCGGAGGAAAGGUGGGAUGACGUCAAAUCAUCAUGCCCCUUAUGACCUGGGCUACACACGUGCUACAAUGGAUGGUACAAAGGGCUGCAAGACCGCGAGGUCAAGCCAAUCC